ensembl:lncRNA
UGGGAUAUCAUGAGGCAAACUGGCAAAGUGGAGAAAAGAGCAAAUGGAGAAUAAUUGACCUGAGAGGUCCCCCAGGGGGGUCCCUCAAACCACUGCACAGAACAGAGAGCUGGCAUGGAGAAGGAAAUCCUUUAUCUGUGUUCUGGGCCGUCGUGACAUUUGGAUGAGGUCGAGCAAGGAAGGAGGCUGUCUUUGGGGCAGACAAAGUGCACAGCCCCACUUUGACACACCCUUGGAAGCCAUCUCCUGCCUGCUGUUCUGGGCUCUCAUUGCAUCCGUGGCCCUUUCUCCCCAACCUGGAGACAGCUGGAUGCGAGCUCCUGCCCGGCCCACCACAACCCCUGGCUGCCUCCCUCUGAGGAAAUAAAACCAAGUCAAGCAUCCCACCCAAACCUCAG